rnacentral:rRNA from 1 species
UACGUAGGGUGCAAGCGUUGUCCGGAAUUAUUGGGCGUAAAGAGCUCGUAGGCGGUCUGUCGCGUCUGCUGUGAAAACUCGGGGCUUAACCCCGGGCCUGCAGUGGGUACGGGCAGACUAGAGUGCGGUAGGGGAGACUGGAAUUCCUGGUGUAGCGGUGAAAAUGCGCAGAUAUCAGGAGGAACACCGGUGGCGAAGGCGGGUCUCUGGGCCGUAACUGACGCUGAGGAGCGAAAGCAUGGGGAGCGAACAGG